rnacentral:tmRNA from 1 species
GGGGUCGACAUGGUUUUGACAGUGAGUUGAAUUGAUAUGUAAGCAUGCCGGGUUUUGUAGGUUUCCCGUAAAAGAACAUGCAAACCUUUUUUAAUUGGCAACAAUAAUUAUGCGCUUGCUGCGUAAUCAGGCUAAGCCGGUUACUGCUUAAUCCACGACUACUAUUGGUCGGGACAAGUCACUCCCGAAUGGUGUUUCCCGAUACCGGUUCGAUAUGGAGUGCCAGAAGUUUGGGAUAGUUUUCACGGAGCUGCGACGAGAAAGCGAAAAUUAGCAGAUAAGAAAAGAUUUCGGGUGUCUUUACCCUGAUUUUUUCCGACAAUUAAGAAAAGACUAAGCAUGUAGAAAGCAUAUGAAUUGCUUGCCUGGACGCGGGUUCGACUCCCGCCGGCUCCACAA